AGAUCGUGAACAACAACAGGAUGAAGUUUGUAGUAAACUAGUGGACCACAGCAACUUUAAUGUUUAUCAUGGCAAUGGUAAUGGAAACCAAUUUUCCUAUUGGUCACGUUUUGACAAGUGACAAGCAUUUAUUGUAGGAAAAAGUAAAAUUACAAAAAUACUGAACUCCGAGCAAACUUCAAAACGAAAAGUCCCUAAUCAAAUGGCAAAAUCAAAUAUCCAAACACAUGAAGGGACAACAACUGUCAUAUUCCUGACUUGAACAGUAGAAUAUUAAAAUAUAUUUUAUGGUGAAAUUACAUUUAAUGUAAGGGUUUUAAACAUUUAAUUAAUAUACAUAAGUAAGAAAAGUGACUCAAGUGCCUUUAAAUGGGUAGGUUUUUUUUUCGUCACACAAAUUGUUAUCUAUGAUAUAUACGUCAAAAUGUUCAUCCUUUUAAUUUUACAAACAUAAACAUGAUAAAGUAAUGGAGUAAACUAACCUUCAUACAUAUGGUUUAAAUUGCAAAAUUAGAAGGGUACAUACAAAUAUUAUUAAAAAGAUCUGUAUGGAAUUAAAACUAAAGGCUUAAAAAAUUGUUUUAUUGAUAUUAGAGAGACAUGUUUUUCUGAUUUCUAGAAAAAAAAAUACACCACAUGAUAUAUACUCUUCAACAAAAUAUAUUUCUAGCAGUUUCGUAUGCUGGUCGGUUUUUUGUUUUAAGGCUUUUGUGCUCUUGUUUGUUUGUUUUGUGUUUUUUUUUGCUUAGAAGAUUACCAUUAUGCAUUUGUGUAGAAAAAAAGAUAAUAAACAAUAAAAAAAAAGUAAAGGAUAAGACUACAUACAUAUUUUUUUCGAUGUUUUUUAUUUCUUGUUACUUUCCCCGCCCCCUUUUCAAUUAGUUGUUUCAAUACUGUUUUGUCUACUAUCAAUCUAAGGCUGUGUCUGUUUUUUUCUUUGUUUUGCGUCAACUGAUUCUGAGAAAACCUACCAGACAGCAAGGAAAAAAAACACACACAAAGAAAAUAACACAAGAGUCUGCUUAAGUUCUGGACUGAUUAACAGUGACUUUAGAUCAAUACUGUCAUAUCUAAGUGAAAGAGCAAACAUGACAAACAGGAAAUUUAGCAAUGUACAAACUUGAUAUGACUAUAUUCUGAGAAAUGGCCUUGGUAUUUCAAACAUUUCCCAUUUAUACUGAAGCCUUUGAGAAGAGACAUGUUUUGAUCUGAGAUGUGUCAUGUUGUAUUAAAACCUAUGUAUAAUCAAUAAUUCCCUGUAUCAAAUCAUUAAUGCUUUAAGCAUGAAUUAUCUCCCAUUUGCAGAGUUAUCUUCCUAUAAUUGGAAUACUUUAUAUAAACUUUUUGGCAAUAUAUUAAUAUUUUGUUCUGCAUACUUUUUUUUCAGAAAAUAAACUAAUGAAAUUAUGUUUUAUAUCUUAAUAUCUUGUGGAAUUAAAAAUGUACAUACUAAUUUAUCCUAUCUUAUCAGACAGUAGAUAUCAUUUUAAGAAAUUUAUUAGAAAUAUUUGCAAAAACUACUAUUUUUCAUUUAAAAAAGUUUAAAAAUUUAUUUCAAUUAUAAAAUAAGAUAACUGUGCAAAUGGGAGGUGAUAGGUUCAUUGAAUCUUGUAUUUAACGCGUCUCUUAUGCUGGCUACGUAAAGGCUCUCUAGGAUCUGAGAAAAAGUUUCUGUGCCGGCGAGCGGAAAGGCAUAUGGAGCCAGAACGAUCCUUUUAUCUUUGAAAAGUGAAACACAAACGAUCUCGCUCGCCGGCACAUUUAUACUGGCCAUUUCUGCUGUCACAUGUAUCGAAGUCAAGAUCGCUUAAACGCUUUAAAUAAGGAGCGUACUUGUUAUUUAAAGCGCAAAAUAGAUUUGAGUAUAAGAAUACACAAAAACACGGCUGGAAAAACCCGGAAAAUACGGAUUUUCUACUGACAAACAAAAAAAGUUUGUGUUUGUUUUUGACACAAAUUGGCCGAAAACCUACCCGCACGCGGACGCAAAACAAAUAAAAAACAACUAUGGCCUAACAUCAUUUGAAAACAGACUACGAGUUACGAUAGAUGAAAAUCUAAAUCAAAUUUGUACUUCUUGCAAUGUUAAUCUCCUUUUUAUUUUGUGUUCGAUUAGUUCAAGAGAAAUCUGUAGCAAGCAUUACUGAAGACAAUAUGCAUAUGAGACCAUGUCCUGCUGUAAUGGUGCCACCACCGCCACCAGAUCCACCGAAUCCAAAUUAACAAUGAUUGAUAUUGUACUUGAAAUAAAAUUAGUAAUUUGGUGCAGCCGUCGUGAAUCUCCAUAGCUAUCAGCCUUGUUGAAUAAUUCAUUUAGUAAAAAUGGAAUACAAGUAGUUGUAUUGUAUAAGU
rnacentral:lncRNA from 1 species